UACGGGGGGGGCAAGCGUUGUCCGGAUUUAUUGGGCGUAAAGAGCGUGUAGGCGGCUGGGUAGGUCUGCUGUGAAAACUCGAGGCUCAACCUCGAGACGUCGGCGGAAACCCUCCAGCUAGAGUCCGGAAGAGGAGAGUGGAAUUCCUGGUGUAGCGGUGAAAUGCGCAGAUAUCAGGAAGAACACCCGUGGCGAAAGCGGCUCUCUGGGACGGUACUGACGCUGAGACGCGAAAGCGUGGGGAGCGAACAGG
rnacentral:rRNA from 1 species